rnacentral:rRNA from 1 species
UGGAUCCAGACUUUGAUUCUGGCUCAGGACGAACGCUGGCGGCGCGCCUAACACAUGCAAGUCGAACGGGGUUAUACUGGAUGAAGUUUUCGGAUGGAAUUUGGUAUAACCUAGUGGCGGACGGGUGAGUAACACGUGAGCAACCUGCCUAUCAGAGGGGGAUAACGAUUGGAAACGAUCGCUAAUACCGCAUGACAUAGCGGAACCGCAUGGUUCUGUUAUCAAAGAUUUUAUCGCUGAUAGAUGGGCUCGCGUCCGAUUAGAUAGUUGGUGGGGUAACGGCCUACCAAGUCGACGAUCGGUAGCCGGACUGAGAGGUCGAACGGCCACAUUGGGACUGAGACACGGCCCAGACUCCUACGGGAGGCAGCAGUGGGGGAUAUUGCGCAAUGGGGGAAACCCUGAUGCAGCGACGCCGCGUGAGGGAAGACGGUCCUCUGGAUUGUAAACCUCUGUCUUCGGGGACGAAAGUAGACGGUACCCGAGGAGGAGGCCACGGCUAACUACGUGCCAGCAGCCGCGGUAAUACGUAGGUGGCAAGCGUUGUCCGGAAUUACUGGGUGUAAAGGGAGCGUAGGCGGGCAGGCAAGUCAGGCGUGAAAUAUAUCGGCUCAACCGGUAACGGCGCUUGAAACUGCAGGUCUUGAGUGAAGUAGAGGUUGGCGGAAUUCCUAGUGUAGCGGUGAAAUGCGUAGAUAUUAGGAGGAACACCAGUGGCGAAGGCGGCCAACUGGGCUUUUACUGACGCUGAGGCUCGAAAGUGUGGGGAGCAAACAGGAUUAGAUACCCUGGUAGUCCACACCGUAAACGAUGAUUACUAGGUGUGGGGGGACUGACCCCUUCCGUGCCGGAGUUAACACAAUAAGUAAUCCACCUGGGGAGUACGGCCGCAAGGUUGCAACUCAAAUGAAUUGACGGA